UAAGCCCACAUCGCCUAAGGAGACUAAGCA
rnacentral:piRNA from 1 species